ACUGAGGUUGCUGCAGUUUUUCCGCGAUAGUUUGGGGCAGUUCCGCGCGUUGCAGACACUUCUGAAUUUCCUGGACCUACGCAUUGGAUCCUCAAAGAACUGCUGAAUACCACCAGAAACAUACCUGUAACCAGAGACAGCUGAUUAUAGCUUUCUGCAGCAAGGAAGCCCACGUACCAGGGGCUGUCUUGGCACAAUUCUGCUUUCCCAGGAACUGCAUCACUCAGGACUCUGCAAGUUUCCAGAAGUAAGAGGGAAAAUGACCAUGUUCAAGGAGGCAAUGACCUUCAAGGACGUGGCUGUGGUCUUCACUGAGGAAGAGCUGGGGCUGCUGGACCUUGCUCAGAGGAAGCUGUAUCGAGAUGUGAUGCUGGAGAACUUCAGGAACCUGCUCUCAGUGGGUGAGGACAGGCACCCUCUGUAACUGAACGUCAGGCCCCAGAAGUGGCUUUGUAUCCUAGGGUACAAAGUUUCAAGUCUUAAUUAGUAACUUGAACCUAUGGUUCAAGUUUGAGUGUGCAGUAAGAACCUAAAUUUCUGGUAAACUUUACCUUGAUAUUAC
rnacentral:sRNA from 1 species